UACGGAGGGUGCGAGCGUUGUCCGGAAUCACUGGGCGUAAAGGGCGCGUAGGCGGCCUGAUAAGUAGGGGGUGAAAUCCUGCGGCUUAACCGCAGGGCUGCCUUCUAAACUGUCAGGCUCGAGCACAGUAGAGGCAGGUGGAAUUCCCGGUGUAGCGGUGAAAUGCGCAGAUAUCAGGAGGAACACCGGUGGCGAAGGCGGGUCUCUGGGCCGAUACUGACGCUGAGGUGCGAAAGCGUGGGGAGCAAACAGG
rnacentral:rRNA from 1 species